rnacentral:rRNA from 1 species
GACGUAGGAGGCGAGCGUUGUCCGGAGUUACUGGGCGUAAAGCGCGCGCAGGCGGUCACGCAGGUCAUCUGCGAAAGCACUCGGCUCAACCGGGAUGUUGCGGGUGAAACCGCGUGACUUGAGGGUGGGAGAGGUCGGUGGAAUUCCCGGUGUAGUGGUGAAAUGCGUAGAGAUCGGGAGGAACACCCGUAGCGAAGGCGGCCGACUGGACCACACCUGACGCUGAGGCGCGAAGGCCAGGGGAGCGAACGGG